GGUUUACCGGUGGUGAAAUGGUUAUCAUAUAUGUUUAACACACAGCAGGCCGGCGGUUCGAGCCCGCCCGAGAUCA
rnacentral:tRNA from 16 species